GAGGAAUAUUGGUCAAUGGGCGGGAGCCUGAACCAGCCAAGUCGCGUGAAGGAAGAAGGAUCUAUGGUUCGUAAACUUCUUUUGCAGGGGAAUAAAGUGCAGGACGUGUCCUGUUUUGUAUGUACCCUGAGAAUAAGGAUCGGCUAACUCCGUGCCAGCAGCCGCGGUAAUACGGAGGAUCCGAGCGUUAUCCGGAUUUAUUGGGUUUAAAGGGUGCGUAGGUGGUUUGAUAAGUCAGCGGUGAAAGUUUGCAGCUUAACUGUAAAAAUGCCGUUGAAACUGUCGGACUUGAGUGUAAAUGAAGUAGGCGGAAUGCGUGGUGUAGCGGUGAAAUGCAUAGAUAUCACGCAGAACUCCUAUUACGAAGGCAGCUUACUAAGCUACAACUGACACUGAAGCACGAAAGCGUGGG
rnacentral:rRNA from 1 species